GAACUUCCGUUAAUUGAUUAUGACGUACUUGUACUGAUUGAGAUUUUAACACGAAGUGAGUGGCGAACGGGUGAGUAACACGUGGGUAACCUGCCCAGAAGUAGGGGAUAACACCUGGAAACAGAUGCUAAUACCGUAUAACAGAGAAAACCGCAUGGUUUUCUUUUAAAAGAUGGCUCUGCUAUCACUUCUGGAUGGACCCGCGGCGUAUUAGCUAGUUGGUGAGGUAAAGGCUCACCAAGGCAGUGAUACGUAGCCGACCUGAGAGGGUAAUCGGCCACAUUGGGACUGAGACACGGCCCAGACUCCUACGGGAGGCAGCAGUAGGGAAUCUUCCACAAUGGACGCAAGUCUGAUGGAGCAACGCCGCGUGAGUGAAGAAGGGUUUCGGCUCGUAAAGCUCUGUUGUUAAAGAAGAACGUGGGUAAGAGUAACUGUUUACCCAGUGACGGUAUUUAACCAGAAAGCCACGGCUAACUACGUGCCAGCAGCCGCGGUAAUACGUAGGUGGCAAGCGUUAUCCGGAUUUAUUGGGCGUAAAGCGAGCGCAGGCGGUCUUUUAAGUCUAAUGUGAAAGCCUUCGGCUCAACCGAAGAAGUGCAUUGGAAACUGGGAGACUUGAGUGCAGAAGAGGACAGUGGAACUCCAUGUGUAGCGGUGAAAUGCGUAGAUAUAUGGAAGAACACCAGUGGCGAAGGCGGCUGUCUGGACUGCACU
rnacentral:rRNA from 1 species